rnacentral:rRNA from 1 species
UACGUAGGGUGCAAGCGUUAAUCGGAAUUACUGGGCGUAAAGCGUGCGCAGGCGGUGAUGUAAGACAGGUGUGAAAUCCCCGGGCUCAACCUGGGAACUGCAUUUGUGACUGCAUCGCUGGAGUGCGGCAGAGGGGGAUGGAAUUCCGCGUGUAGCAGUGAAAUGCGUAGAUAUGCGGAGGAACACCGGUGGCGAAGGCGGCUCACUGGCUCAUUUCUGACGCUCAGGCGCGACAGCGUGGGGAUCAAACAGG